rnacentral:rRNA from 1 species
AGAGUUUGAUCCUGGCUCAGGAUGAACGCUGGCGGCGUGCUUAACACAUGCAAGUCGAACGAAGCUGCUUAACUGAUCUUCUUCGGGAUUGACGUUUUGUAGACUGAGUGGCGGACGGGUGAGUAACGCGUGGGUAACCUGCCCUGUACAGGGGGAUAACAGUCAGAAAUGACUGCUAAUACCGCAUAAGACCACAGCACCGCAUGGUGCAGGGGUAAAAACUCCGGUGGUACAGGAUGGACCCGCGUCUGAUUAGCUGGUUGGUGAGGUAACGGCUCACCAAGGCGACGAUCAGUAGCCGGCUUGAGAGAGUGAACGGCCACAUUGGGACUGAGACACGGCCCAAACUCCUACGGGAGGCAGCAGUGGGGAAUAUUGCACAAUGGGGGAAACCCUGAUGCAGCGACGCCGCGUGAGUGAAGAAGUAUUUCGGUAUGUAAAGCUCUAUCAGCAGGGAAGAAAAUGACGGUACCUGACUAAGAAGCCCCGGCUAACUACGUGCCAGCAGCCGCGGUAAUACGUAGGGGGCAAGCGUUAUCCGGAUUUACUGGGUGUAAAGGGAGCGUAGGUGGCGGAGCAAGUCAGAAGUGAAAGCCCGGGGCUCAACCCCGGGACGGCUUUUGAAACUGUCCUGCUUGAUUUCAGGAGAGGUAAGCGGAAUUCCUAGUGUAGCGGUGAAAUGCGUAGAUAUUAGGAGGAACAUCAGUGGCGAAGGCGGCUUACUGGACUGAAACUGACACUGAGGCACGAAAGCGUGGGGAGCAAACAGGAUUAGAUACCCUGGUAGUCCACGCCGUAAACG